GAACAAGUGUCAUUCAAGGAUGUAUGUGUGGACUUCACUCAGGAAGAGUGGUAUCUGCUGGACCCUGCUCAGAAGAUACUAUACAGAGAUGUGAUCCUGGAAAAUUAUAGCAAUCUUGUCUCAGUAGGGUAUUGCAUUACUAAACCAGAAGUGAUCUUUAAGAUCGAGCAAGGAGAAGAGCCCUGGAUAUUAGAAAAAGGAUUCCCAAGCCAGUGCCACCCAGAAAGGAAAUGGAAAGUUGAUGACAUGUUAGAGAGCAGCCAGGAAAAUGAAGAUGACCAUUUUUGGGAGCUUCUAUUCCACAACAACAAAACAUGGAAUCUGAAGCUUAUAAAAGUUGAAUGACAGCAGCAUUAAACAUAUAUGUGAAGAGUCCCCGAUGUUUGUAAACCUUAUUAGUCUGAAGAUAACAGUGCACAAGGUGGGAAAAGCCAGCUCAGAGGUGACGUUGCCGAGCUACUCUGCUCUCUAUACCUGUUCUCUACUGGGACUUUGUAUAACCCUCAAUAACUGUUUUUUAUUUGGUCUUAGGGCUGUCUGAUACUUAGAGCUGAAGGCAUUCCAGCUGACACAGAGGAAUAUUUUUCUAAGUGUUAAUGUUCUAUAUGGUAAUUAGGGGGAAGAAUUAUUUCUUUUCACAAGUUAAUAUAGGGAUGGCUGUUUGUAUCAGCCAUGGUUCUUUCUGGUGGAAAACAGAAUUCUCCAACUAAAAACAUUUUAAUGGCAGACUGAUUACAGUGGUGUGGGCCAGAAACAAGGGACAAUGAAACACCCAGAGACUUGUAUCAGCAGGAAGCCAUUG
rnacentral:sRNA from 1 species